AUUAUAUUUUUAAAAAAUACCAUUUAUUUUAGUACUUGUCUAUGUAUACAUACAAACAUAUCCAUGUGUAUCAAAAAAAAAAAAAAAAAAAAAAAAAAUCAAUUUUAUUUGACUGAAACUUAUUUUUAACGAGUGCAGUUUAUUAGUUAUAGCUAUAUAAUCUAUCUAAUAAUUAGUUUUAAUUAUUUGGUAUUUUUAUAC
rnacentral:lncRNA from 1 species